rnacentral:rRNA from 2 species
AGUGAAGCGGGAUGAGCUCAAAUUUGAAAUCUGGCUGGUUUUACUGGUCCGAGUUGUAGUUUAUAGAGGUGUUUUCGGUGGCAGCCUGGGUAUAAAUCCUUUGGAAUAGGGUAUCAUGGAGGGUGAGAAUCCCGUCUUUGACCCAGGUUCAUGCUACUAUGUGAUACAUCUUCAAAGAGUCGAGUUGUUUGGGAAUGCAGCUCUAAAUGGGUGGUAAAUUUCAUCUAAAGCUAAAUACAGGCGAGAGACCGAUAGCGAACAAGUACCGUGAGGGAAAGAUGAAAAGAACUUUGAAAAGAGAGUUAAACAGUGCGUGAAAUUGUUGAAAGGGAAACGUUUGAAGCCAGCCGUGCGGGCGGAAAAUCAGCCUAGCUGUGGUGGGGAGCUAUUGGAGGUUCGGAGCGCAAGCCCGGCCUUUGGUGGCAUCUUUGUCACAAUGGGUGCACUUUUUCGUUUGCAGGCCAACAUCAGUUUGCUUCGCUGGAAAAGGCCUUGAGGGAAUGUGGCAGCUUUGGCUGUGUUAUAGCCCUGAGGAGAUACAGUGGAGUGGACUGAGGAGUCGCAGCGUGUGCUUUCGGGCAAGGUAGACUGGGUGCUGUGGGAUGGGGCGAGGUACAAUGCAUGCAUUUUGCUUCGUCUUUUCUGUCCUGCACUCGCUCAUCUCUACUCUUCCACGCUUAGGAUGUUGGCAUAAUGGAUUUAAACGACC